ACGGAAGGCAGCAGUGGGGAAUAUUGGGCAAUGGGCGAAAGCCUGACCCAGCAACGCCGCGUGAAGGAAGAAGGUCUUCGGAUUGUAAACUUCUUUUAUCAGGGACGAAGGAAGUGACGGUACCUGAUGAAUAAGCCACGGCUAACUACGUGCCAGCAGCCGCGGUAAUACGUAGGUGGCAAGCGUUAUCCGGAUUUACUGGGUGUAAGGGGCGCGUAGGCGGGGAUGCAAGUCAGAUGUGAACUCUAUGGGCUUAACCCAUAAACUGCAUUUGAAACUGUAUCUCUUGAGUGUCGGAGAGGUAGAUGGAAUUCCUAGUGUAGCGGUGAAAUGCGUAGAUAUUAGGAGGAACACCAGUGGCGAAGGCGAUCUACUGGACGAUAACUGACGCUGAGGCGCGAAAGCGUGGGGAGCAAACAGGAUUAGAUACCCUGGUA
rnacentral:rRNA from 1 species